rnacentral:rRNA from 1 species
UGGCGGCACUAGCGCGGUGGUCCCACCUGACCCCAUGCCGAACUCAGAAGUGAAACGCCGUAGCGCCGAUGGUAGUGUGGGGUCUCCCCAUGUGAGAGUAGGGAACUGCA